UACGUAGGGCGCAAGCGUUGUCCGGAAUUAUUGGGCGUAAAGAGCUCGUAGGCGGCUUGUCGCGUCGGAUGUGAAAGCCCGGGGCUUAACUCCGGGUCUGCAUUCGAUACGGGCAGGCUAGAGUUCGGUAGGGGAGAGUCGGAAUUCCUGGUGUAGCGGUGAAAUGACGCAGAUAUCAGGGAGGAACACCGGUGGCGAAGGCGGAUCUCUGGGCCGAUACUGACGCUGAGGAGCGAAAAGCGUGGGGGAGCGAACAGG
rnacentral:rRNA from 1 species